ACAGGGCUGCACACGGAGCGGCGGGAACGCAGAACUCCGGAGACACCUACAAGCCUCACCACCUUUGAGACGAGGCUGCUUUGGUUAAAUGAAGAGCCAGAGAGGCAGGGGACACAGAGCAUUUCAGGAAGUGUCCCCCGAAGACUCCUGUAUGGAGGGCUUGAUCCCCAUUGCAGCACUGUUCAGCGGCGGAGCCCGGAGAGGCGGCCAGUUGUGGCGGCACUAAUCUCACCUGUGGAUUAACCCACUGAUGAGUUCACGGCUGAAGGAGCCCUUAGGAGUGAUGUGCCUGCCUCGCCCCAGGUCCAAGAGGACUGAAAGCUCUGAAACUCUCAGCCGA